UACGGGGGGAGCAAGCGUUGUUCGGAUUUACUGGGCGUAAAGGGCGCGUAGGCGGUCGUGACAAGUCACUUGUGAAAUCUCCGGGCUUAACUCGGAACGGUCAAGUGAUACUGUCGGACUAGAGUACAGAAGGGGCAACUGGAAUUCUCGGUGUAGCGGUGAAAAUGCGUAGAUAUCGAGAGGAACACCUGCGGCGAAGGCGGGUUGCUGGGCUGUUGCUGACGCUGAGGCGCGACAGCGUGGGGAGCAAACAGG
rnacentral:rRNA from 1 species